AGAGUUUGAUCCUGGCUCAGGACGAACGCUGGCGGCGUGCCUAACACAUGCAAGUCGAGCGGAGACAAGGCUUCGGCCUUGUUUUAGCGGCGGACGGGUGAGUAACGCGUGAACAAGCUGUCCUGCACAGGGGGAUAACAUUGAGAAAUCAGUGCUAAUACCGCAUGAGACCACAAUGCCACAUGGCGAAGGGGUCAAAGGAGCAAUCCGGUGCAGGGGGUGUUCGCGUCCCAUUAGAUAGUUGGCGGGGUAACGGCCCACCAAGUCAGCGAUGGGUAGCCGACCUGAGAGGGUGAUCGGCCACACUGGGACUGAGACACGGCCCAGACUCCUACGGGAGGCAGCAGUGGGGAAUAUUGGGCAAUGGGCGGAAGCCUUACCCAGCAACGCCGCGUGAGGGAAGAAGGUUUUCGGAUUGUAAACCUCUGUCCUUGGGGACGAAAAAGUGACGGUACCCAGGGAGGAAGCCCCGGCUAACUACGUGCCACACCCGCGGUAAUACUAGGGGGCGAGCGUUGUCCGGAAUUAUUGGGCGUAAAGGGGCGUAACGGCGGAUAGAACUGCAAGUAAUACUGUCUGGCUUGAGUGCAGGAGAGGAAAGCGGAAUUCCUAGUGUAGCGGUGAAAUCCGUAGAGAUCAGAAGGAAUACCGAUUGCGAAGGCGAUCUACUGGAACAUUAUUGACGCUGAGACGCGAAAGCGUGGGGAGCAAACAGGAUUAGAUACCCUGGUAGUCCACGCCCUAAACGAUGUACACUAGUUGUUGUGAGGCUCGACCUUGCAGUAAUGCAGUUGACACAUUAAGUGUACCGCCUGGGGAGUACGGUCGCAAGAUUAAAACUCAAAGGAAUAGACGGGGACCCGCACAAGCGGUGGAGCAUGUGGUUUAAUUCGACGAUACACGAAGAACCCUUACCUGGACUUGACAUAGUAAGAACUUUCUAGAGAUAGAUUGGUGUCUGCUUGCAGAAACUUAUAUACAGGUGCUGCACGGCUGUCGUCAGCUCGUGUCGUGAGAUGUUGGGUUAAGUCCCGCAACGAGCGCAACCCUCGUCAUUAGUUGCUAACAGUUCGGCUGAGAACUCUAAUGAGACUGCCUACGCAAGUAGGAGGAAGGUGAGGACGACGUCAAGUCAUCAUGGCCCUUACGUCCAGGGCUACACACGUGCUACAAUGGGGUAUACAAAGAGCAGCAAUACGGUGACGUGGAGCAAAUCUCAAAAAUAUCUCCCAGUUCGGAUUGUAGUCUGCAACUCGGCUACAUGAAGUUGGAAUCGCUAGUAUCGUAGAUCAGCUAUGCUACGGCGAAUACGUUCCCGGGUCUUGUACUCACCGCCCGUCACACCAUGGGAGUUUGGAGCACCCGAAGUCAGUGAGGUAACCGCAAGGAGCCAGCUGCCGAAGGUGAGCCAGAUGACUGGGGUGAAGUCGUAACAAGGUAACCGUA
rnacentral:rRNA from 1 species